GAGCAAUGCGGCCGUGCUCGUGCUCCUGCUCGCGGUUCACCAAUCAUGGUGCAUGUGUAGUGUAGACAAGACAGCCAACUAGUUGCAUUGCGGGCGAGUACGCGCGCAUGAUUGAGGAGGCUUCAUAGCAGCAAGGGCUCCCUCUGUGAGUCCUGAGAGAUUUGUAAAGGCGCGCAGGUGCAGGCAUCAAUGCUCGCAGCGAGCGCACGCAGAUCUAACUACAGCGCGGCCCAGGGGGCGCUGCCGCUUGUGCGCGCAGGUGACUGACAGCCACUACGCGAACAGGCACAAGGGGUUGAGGAGAAGCAACCAAGGGGUGUGGUUAGAUUGCAGCACGCCAGGACAAGCCUGGGUCGAUUCUUUGAUCCCACUCUCUCUGUUCUGUUCUGUUCUGUUCUCUUCUGUUUUUUUAAUUGUUUCUGCCUUCUUUCAUUUCAAAUUAGUGCAGGCCUGUUCAUUGUUUUGUAUUGUCUAUCUAUCUAUCUAUCUAUCUUUCCAGCAGCAGCAGCAGCACAGACCUGAUUGACAGCCACGGAGUUGAUCAGACGGCAGAUAUUGUAUUCUACUGCUACCUGCAUGUAUAGAUGCCAGCCAUGGGUGGUUGGUUACUUGGAGCAAGAGAUGCUGUUUAACCAUUUUGCUACUACAGGAGUAUACUCUACUUUUUUUUUCUCUCUCUCUCUGCCCUAACAUCCACUGAUCCACCAAAUUGAAAAAAAAGAGGAAUCUUGUUCAUGAUUUCAAACCCCAAGAAAACCAUGCACUGUUGGGACACGAACCGCAUCAAACUGGCCAGUGAUAGGAUAGGUAAAGCAGAGGAAAGGCUGCGUUGCCUUGGCCCCCUUGCCUUCUUGCAGGGGUGGCCAAAGUUGCAACUUGUUGCAGAUGCUUUUUUUUUUUUUGCCUUUCAUCCCUACUCGCCAAUUCUGAACUAGCAGCACCAAGUGAAAAGCUUUUUCACGCGCUAUCAGCUUUUACUGUGUCCUACGUACUCCAGUCCACAGUCUCCUACCCGCUAUCACCGUGCUCAGUUUGGAGAGAGCAGCAGUAUCUGUGGUGUUUGUUGUGGCAACUGUGAGACGGUCAAAGGCAACAAAGGAACUGUACUGCCACGAUCUCCAGUUACUAUCAGUGUUCAGUCUCUGCUGGAGCCAAUGCAUCCAUCCAUUCCAACCAGAACCAGCUUCCGCAGCCUCCUGUAGUCGCUUCAAGUUCAAGGUGACAGACGGAUGAUCCACCCAACUGGUUGGUUCUCUGUGGUCAUGGAAAGGCUCGAGUGCUGGUCGCAAAAGGGCGCGCAAGUGAAUGCUGCACAGCGGCACAAGAAAGCAAAGGCAUCUCUGUGGCUAGUCACUGAUGCGGAGGCAUGCCUGCCUACCUCAAAAGAAUGAGCUGGGAUCAGCUCUCUGCAUAUGUCACGCACACCACCUGCGCCUGUGCUGCCUGCUGCUGCUGCUGGAGGGUAUGCGUGCACAAUGCUGCUUUGCCUCGGUCCUCUCUUCUAUCAUUGCAAUCUUUUUGCCAUCGCUGAAGAUGACACAGGACACCAUGAUCGUAUGCCCCCCCCCAGCCUUCAGUUCCUUCGUCACCGUUACCCGUCCACGGCUUUCUUUCAUCUGCCAAGUCUGCACACUCAAAUAUAGAGAAACCAAAUGCAAAGCCUACUGUUGUUUUGCCAUCCAAUUCUUGGCGAAGACGUCCAAGAUGCUCUCUGGACAGGAGGUAUUCUAUACGCUGGACGCAAUCACGCAAAUACUUGGUUUUUAUCACUGUAUUUUUUUUUCAUUACUGCUACAGCCUGCAGUCAAGUUACUUUCCUAGCAAGUGGACCAUCCACAUCCAGGACCAGCUAUGGUUUUUCAGGCCAAGUCUUUUAUAUAACAUCGCUCGUCCCAGAUCCACAGCAGGUGAUGGUACGGUGCCAUGAUCUGUCUCUCUCUGUAGCUCAUCGCUCUCAAGGUUGUUGGGCACAUGCAUGAUGCAUCGCGAGAUAUUUUUUGUGCGAUUUUGAACACGCUCUGUCCACCACCUUUUGUAUUGAACCAUCCAAUGCAGCCACUGAAUCUUAUCCUAGUAGCACAAGCACAAGGUGAUCAUACAUGAACUGCAGACAGGGUGCAUCUAUCCACACAAAAGGCACAUGAUCGCAGAAUUAUGAUUGCCUACAUGCCAAGAUAAGAUUCUGCUGUUGUGGUUCGCCGAAUGCCAUCCGGCCAAUUCACCUUCUUAUAAACUGAUUUCAGGGUUCAGUGCGGAAUCCAUGCAAAAGGUUGAGAAAUGCAAGGAGCUUAACACAACUGCGAGAGAUAGACGACGAUCCUCCAUCUGUCCAACUGCGUCGUCCUGGAGGUGAAUGGUCAAGGUGCCAAACUUUGAAAGCUAGCGUCGUCCUGGAGUUACACGUAGUCAAGCACCGAACGUUAGGAUUGGGUUCUGAAGAAUAUCACGUCGUGCAGCCAUGCAGGCAUGGACACCUGUAAGGGACGAAGCAAGUGUACGUAACUGUGUAAGUGACAGACUGACUAUAGAGCAAGAUGUCAAAAGCUCAAAGAAAAUGGUUUUGCUACUCAAAAACCAUGUGUCCUUUCAUGGAUUAAGGUUAAAGACGAUUAAUAAUUGUCAUUGUUUACUAUGGUAGGUUAGGUUUUGCCUA